AAGUCGUAACAAGGUCUCCGUAGGUGAACCUGCGGAGGGAUCCAAUUGAAUGAAAGCGUUGCCCCUAGCGGGUAGAUCUCCCACCCUUUGUAUAUCAUACCAUUGUUGCUUUGUCGGGCCCGACUCUCGGGACCGCCGGCUCCGGCUGGCCAGCGCCCGACAGGGGAAUCAAACUCUUGUAUUUUUGUCGUCAGAGUACUAUAUCAAUAGCUAAAA
rnacentral:misc_RNA from 1 species